rnacentral:rRNA from 1 species
AUUGAACGCUGGCGGCAGGCCUAACACAUGCAAGUCGAGCGGAUGAAGGGAGCUUGCUCCUGGAUUCAGCGGCGGACGGGUGAGUAAUGCCUAGGAAUCUGCCUGGUAGUGGGGGAUAACGUCCGGAAACGGGCGCUAAUACCGCAUACGUCCUGUGGGAGAAAGUGGGGGAUCUUCGGACCUCACGCCAUCAGAUGAGCCUAGGUCGGAUUAGCUAGUUGGUGGGGUAAAGGCCUACCAAGGCUACGAUCCGUAACUGGUCUGAGAGGAUGAUCAGUCACACUGGAACUGAGACACGGUCCAGACUCCUGCGGGAGGCAGCGGUCGGGAAUAUUGGACGAUGGGCGAGAGCCUGAUCCAGCCAUGCCGCGUGUGUGAAGAAGGUCUUCGGAUUGUAAAGCACUUUAAGUUGUGAGGAAGGGCAGUAAGUUAAUACCUUGCUGUUUUGACGUUACCAACAGAAUAAGCACCGGCUAACUUCGUG